GUCGGCCAAAAAAGAAAAUGUAAACAACGCACCGAUUGGCUUACAACGAAAUUUGCCAUUGUUAAUGACGAACAUUUGGGUGGGUCAAACCAUGGAUAAUAAAAUAAAUGGAUAGGAAACUAGCUGACGUGACCUAAUGUUUUCAAUGGACUGAUGGCGUGAUUGGAUGUUGAAACCUAGUUGCAAACCAAAUUCUCAAAAACGGCGUGUUUAGCAAUAAAACAGCUAAACAUUUUAGUCAAAGAGCAAAUGAAUAUAACUACGCCAUUCUACAAUGAAAUCUCUAAGUAUUCCCGGUCAAUUUAUUAGCGAAUAUUUCGAGCGCUAAACAGUGAAAAAUGCAUCCCAAAUCUCGUUAAUAUUGGGGACGUCAGUUUCGUAGCUACAAAUGUAAAAAAAUACAAAACAAAGACGAAAAACAUUUACCUUGAAUACUUUGUCGUUGGUUAGGCAUGCUUUUGAAACAAUUAGACCAGUUCAUGCUUCAAUAUUACUCUUUUAAAGCAGAAAGUCUAGCGAAACAACAAAAAUGCUCAGAACUUUGCAAUAAGCGUGACGUCACAGAUUGCAACUAGGUUGUUUUUGCUUACUUCAGCUAGAGUCCUAUCCAUUUAUAUUAUUAUCCAUGGCCAAACUUUACCCUUUUUUCUUUUUCUUUUGUUUUUGAUUAUGCACUCGGCUAAUUAAAAUCAGUAGUGCGGGAGGGCCAUUAGUAAGAACACCGUUUAGGUAAUAAUGCUGUUCAUCCCUCAGUAAAUUUUGAUGUAGUAACAAUAAUAAUUAAAUUACGAACGGUAAGCUCGUCAAGUCCGAGAUAAGGCCGGACAAAACAUGGAUUCACGGCGCUAUAAAACAUAUGUUGCAUAUUUCUAGCUUCAUGAAUGGUUAGGCUUCAUGAUCAUAAGAAAUAAGCACUAAUUCUAAAAAAUACUAACCUUUACACCCAGCCAUAUCAUUAAAUAGAUAGUAGCCAGGAGGACAAAUACAUUCAAAUGAACCAUCCGUAUCUCUACAUACAAAUUUUUUGUUUUCAUUACAAUCGUCUAUUCCUUGUGCACAUUCAUCAACUGAAAAAAAA